AACCGAUAAUCAUUACCAAUCAGCUCUUUUCAGGUAAAGCAUUUAAGAUUAUUGUGUCCAGCAAACAUAAUGUAAAAUAUAAAACUAUCGGAAUGGGUACAACUUAAACCUAUUGACGAACAUUUAUGAGAGGGUAAGUCUGAUGCCAGCAGCCGCGGUACUUCCAACUCUCGAAGCAUAUAUCGUCAUUAUUGCGGUUGAAAAGUUCUGUUGGAUUUGCGUUUCAGGUCCAUUCAUUAGAUAAAGAUCGGGCUCCUUGACAAUUUUUCCAACGAAAAUCGGUUACGCAUGGUAGCUAGCAAAUUUACUUGAAAAAAUUUGAUGCUCAAUGUGAGCCUAUGUCUUAUGCAUAAAAUUAUGAAAUAAGAUCUCGAUUCUAUUUUGUCGGUUUUCUGAUCUGAGAUAAUGGUUAAGAGAUACGGACAAAGGCAUUCAUAUUGUUGCAUGAGAAGUGAAAUUUAGACCGUGGCGAGACCUUCGACUGCGAAAUUAUUUGUCAAAAAUGUCUUCAUUAACCAAGAAUGAAAGUAAAAGAUUUGAAGCCGAUCAGACACCUAAUUUUGAAUGAUUGUAACAUAUUGGCAAAUGUUCUUUCCAGAGAACAAAU
rnacentral:ncRNA from 1 species